AAAAGAAGAAAAAAAGUGUUACGUUGCUAGCUUGCAAGAUGAGGAGGAAAACAAAUUGUAUUCCAACUCAACAAAUGAGGAAACAAAACCUCAGAGAGGUUAAUGACUGCAUAUAGAUCUAGACAUGUGUAACCUUCCCAGCACCCGAGAGAGACAGACAGAGUCACAUCCCCACUGACAGGUGAAGACUUCAAGACCAGAGUGGUGGAGGGACUUGCCUGAGUCCUGGAUCUGGGAGACCUCUUGAGACCCUGGGAUGGUCGCACGGCCCCUGCACCUGCGCUGCCUUCCCCGUGGUGAAAGCGCAGCACAGGCGGGGCUGCAGGAGAGUGGUGGAGGGGUUAUGCAGUAGCUAUCUUUGGAGGCGUCACUGCCCACGGUGUUUUUAGGAUGAAUAAUUGCUUUAAUUCCUCAAGGCUUUAUAAAUAGAUGGAGAGGUAAUUAUACACAGCAGGACAAAA